ensembl:bidirectional_promoter_lncRNA A730020E08Rik RIKEN cDNA A730020E08 gene
ACCAUUCCCGCCCCGGCUCCGCAACCGGAGCCCGCGCCAACUCUGCGACCGAGACCCCCGGGUUGCAGGAGCGGGCCACGCCGCGCAGUGCCCACGCCCGCCCGGGGUUAUUGCAGUGUUCUGUCCGGGUCUUCCCGUGUCAUCCGCCCCACGAUCGUCUUGACAACUCUCUAGCUAACAAGGUGGUGCUCUUUAUGAUGGCUGCUAUCCUGUGAAAGCUGCCAAUGGGUAACUGAGGAGAAGAGAAGCAAUUCAUGCCAACCAGGACUGGAUGAGAAAAUGGAUCAAGAUUGACUCAACUGCAGUUCUGGGUCCAGAAAACACCAAAACUGUAGUCUGAAUGUGGAAGCACAUUGAUUGAGAUAAUCAUCCAGAUAAUCAGGCACAGAAGACAAGAAAAUAAAAUUUUUUCCUAAGCAUAGUUGUGAUAACUAUUGCUUAGUAGUGUGUGUGUGUGUGUGUGUGUGUGUGUGUGUGUGUGUGUGUGUGUGAAGAGAGAAAAGGGAAGAGAGACAGGAAGAGAGAGGGGGAGAUAAUUACCAUGUUUGAUUAAUUUAGUUUAUUUGAGCACAAUAUUUUUAAAUUUUACCAAAUUAGUGAGUUAAUCUGUUAAUAUUAUCUACAUCCAAAAAACUGGACUUUGAGUUUCCUAUUGUAUAUGGUUCUAGCACCUACAUGACAAUACAUAUUUCAUUCAAACAGUCAGUUGUUGACACAUUGAAAAGCAUCAUCUAAAUUGUCCCUAAGAACAGUAUCUUGAUAAAAUUUGAAAGUAACCUAAACAUAUGUAUAGAUAUAAAUAUAGCAAUAGCAAGAAUAAAACUGCAAAGAGAACAUAUUUGUACUACUUGAAUAUAUAAUAAGCAAACAACACUAAUAAAAGAGUCUGAGCCACAUUAAACCAGUACUCUGGAAAGCUGGAAACUGGUUUUACCAUCUGUCAUCUUCUAUACUGGCAGCAUCACAAAUGAGACUUCUUUUGAACAAAACAUCACAGCAGGAGCCACAGACAUGUGAAUUGUAAUUAACACGUGAAAAUGCAUCUCAUAGCUUUUGUCAUUUAUAGAAAACAUAUUGUGAAAUUUUGAUUUAUAAAAUUAUAUCAAAUUUAAGCCAUUUUAAUUUUCCAAACCUAUACACUAUUUCAUCAAAACUUUGGCCUUUACCAACAGUGUGUUUUUCUUAGGACUGGUUCACUCUUUAAUGAGGAUCAAUUAUUUCCUAAUCAUUCAGAUACAGAAGAUGAACAAAAGUAUAAGUCUGCUGAGGAC